AGCAUAUCAAUAAGCGGAGGAAAAGAAACUAACAAGGAUUCCCCUAGUAACUGCGAGUGAAGCGGGAAAAGCUCAAAUUUAAAAUCUGGCGGUCUUUGGCCGUCCGAGUUGUAGUUUGGAGAAGCGUCUUCCGCGCCGGACCGUGUACAAGUCUCCUGGAACGGAGCGUCGUAGAGGGUGAGAAUCCCGUCUUUGACACGGAUGCCCGGGGCUAUGUGAUGCGCUCUCGAAGAGUCGAGUUGUUUGGGAAUGCAGCUCAAAGUGGGUGGUGAACUCCAUCUAAAGCUAAAUAUUGGCGAGAGACCGAUAGCGAACAAGUACCGUGAGGGAAAGAUGAAAAGCACUUUGGAAAGAGAGUGAAACAGUACGUGAAAUUGCUGAAAGGGAAACGCUUGAAGUCAGUCGCGUCCGCCGGGACUCAGCCUCGCCUUUGGUGGGGUGUACUUCCUGGUGGACGGGUCAGCAUCACUUUUUGUCGCCGGACAAGGUCGGGAGGAAGGUGGCCCUUUCGGGGGUGUUAUAGCCUCCCGUCGUCUACGGUGGUGGGGAGUGAGGCACUCAGCGCGCCUUUGGUCGGGGUUCGCCCACGAUCGCGCUUAGGAUGCUGGCGUAAUGGCUUUAAACGACCCGUCUUGAAACACGGACCAAGGAGUCUAACAUGCCUGCGAGUGUUCGGGUGGAAAACCCGUGCGCGCAAUGAAAGUGAAAGUUGGGAUCUCCGUCGUGGAGAGCACCGACGCCCGGACUUGAGCUCUUGCAACGGUCCUGCGGUGGAGCAUGCAUGUUGGGACCCGAAAGAUGGUGAACUAUGCCUGAAUAGGGUGAAGCCAGAGGAAACUCUGGUGGAGGCUCGUAGCGAUUCUGACGUGCAAAUCGAUCGUCAAAUUUGGGUAUAGGGGCGAAAGACUAAUCUAACCAUCUAGUAGCUGGUUCCUGCCGAU
rnacentral:rRNA from 1 species